AAAUAUUGCCUUUGUGUAUGUAAAUUUAUAUAUAUAUAUAGAGAGAGAGAGAGAGAGUUGAGCUAGAAUACUAUCGGUAGCAAACGGGCUCCGUUGUCACCCAUUUGUUUUCAAUGAUGGAGCCUCCAAAUCGACGAUCGGUACCGUUGAAAAUGAUCUAUACCACUUGAAGUAUCUAGAAAUCAAAUUUCAUGCUUUUUCGAUAUUUUUAUCUUGUCCAUCAAGUGGGCGUAAAAAUGAACGGCUGAAAAUAAAUAUCCUCUAAAAAGUGAUAAUAGAAAUUUUGUAAUCAAGAUCGAGAGUAUAGAUCUUGUUCUAAAUAGUUUAAAGAAUUUUCUAACCAAAAUUCAAUUGAUUUGGAUAGCUUUACACCGUUAAACGAGAAAAUACCUCAUAUCGACCAUUAAAAUUAAAAAUUUUGAAAUUCUUUGAUCAAUAGAUCAAUGAUGUCGAAAAGAUUUGAAAUUUGAUUUCUAGAUACUUCAAGCGGUAUAGAUCAUAUUCAACGGUGUCGAUCGUCGAUUUGGAGGCUCCAUCAUCGAAAACAAAUGGGUGGCAACGGAGCCCGUUUGCUACCGAUAGUAUUCUAGCUCAACUCUAUAUAUACAUAUAUAUAUAUACAUAUAUAUAUACUAGUUGAGUGUACGUACAAAUGUACGUAACAAUUAAUUAUUUAGUAAUUAUUUUAAAUUAAUACGAAAUUGUACAUCAUAUUUAUUCAAAAAUUUAUAAUAUUUUUUAAAAAUAAAUUUAUUUAUUAUGUACUAUUAGAAAAUACCUGUUAUAUAUAUUCUAACUCAAAUUUAAAUAGUUGUUGUCAACAAUAAUUAUAUAUAUAUUUUUAUUUUAUAAAAUUUAUAUAUAGGAUAGAUAUAGAUAUACAUCGGAUAUUUUUCUAUAUUUUUUAAAUUAAAUUUAAUUCACGAUUUGAACUCAAAGUUAAAUUUUAAUGUAAAAUGAAUGGAUAGAAGUGCUUUUUUAACAGAUUGAUCAUAACCGUUCAUUUUUAUUUUUAAUAUUUUUAACCAAUUGAUCAUACUCAUUCGUAGAAUUAAAGUUAUAGAUAAGUAUAAAUAUUUUUUUUUAACAAAUUAGUCAUAAUCGUUCGUUCUUAUUUGAGAUAAUUUUUUACAAAUUGAUCAUAAAUUUGUACAUCAUAUUAAUUCAAAAAUAUGAUUUACAAAUUUAUCAACCAAUCUAUCUUUUAAAUUAUUUUCAAUGUAAUAUAUUGAUAGUCCCAAAAUUUUAAAUUUUAAAUUAAUUUUAAAUUUUGAAUUGAAAUAUAGAUUUACUGUAGAUAUUCUGGCAAAAAUUUGGAUAAGCAUAAUAUUUUUCUAUUUUAGAGAUAAAAAAUUAAAUAAUUUUUUAAUUAAAAUAUAGAUUCACAGUAGAUAUCUUUCGGUUGGCAAAAAUUUGGAUAAGUAUAUUUUUUUUUUCUAUUUUAGAGAUAAACAAUUAAAUAAUUUUUUAAUUAAAAUAUAGAUUCACAGUAGAUAUCUUUCGGUUGGCAAAAAUUUGGAUAAGUAUAUUUUUUUUCUAUUUUAGAGAUUAACAGAAAUGAAAAGUUUGUUUCAUUAUGUUAUUUAUUUUACGUACGGAAAGAGGAAUCAAUAUUUUUCCCGCUAAAAAAUAGGUCUGUCGACAGACCCAAAUUUGAAAUACGUGCUUUUAUAUAUAGUAUAGAUAUAUAUAUAGUCCGGCUAUUAUACUCUUACGAGUACAAUAACCAGUACGAUAACCUUCGUGCUCAUAACUCGUAUUCGAUGAUAGAGCUUCCGAAUUGACGAAGCAUACCGUUAAAUAUUAUCUAAACAUAUAGAAAUCAAAUUUCAUAAUUUUCAAUAUAAUUUAUUUUGCGAUCAAAAAACCUUAAAAUUGAUAACUUUUAACGGUCGAUAAUUUUGACUGUUUAUUUAAUGCUCGCUUGAUAGACUUUAUUGUAAUUUCAAAAAAAAUUUACGAAAUUUAUUUUUUGAAAGUUUCAAAUGUUCUAAAUUAUAUUUAAUAGUAUAGAUCAUUAAUUUGGAAGCUUCAUCAUUAAAAAUAACUUAUGAAUGUGAACUCUAUACUCAUAAAAGUAUAUAUAUAUAUAUAGUCCGACUACCAUACUCUUAUGAGUAUAGACCUCUUUGUACUCAUAUUUUCAGCUGUUAGAUCUAUCAUUUUGAUCAUUUUCAUUCGUUAAAUCAAACUAUUCAACCAACUACCCACUCAACCUUAGGAAACUAUUAUCGUUCUAACCGUACAUCCCUUCAUUCAACGGUCGAAAACAUAUGAAUACAAAAGGAUCUAUACUCAUAACAAUAUAGUAACCCUACCCUAUAUAUAUAUAUAUAUAUAUAUAUAGAGAGAGAGAGAGAGAGAGAGAGAGAGAGAGAGAGUAGGGCUACUAUACUCUUAUAAGUAUAGGGCCCUUUGUACUCAUAAGUUGUUUUCGAUGAUGGAGUUUUCGAAUCGACGAUUCACACCGUUAAACAUAAUCUAGAGUAUUUGAAACUUUUAGAAAAUAAAUUUCGUAAUUUUUCGAAAUCAUUAUAAAGUCCUUCAAGUGGGUAUAAAAUGAACGGUUAAAAUCGAACGACAUCCUAAAACUGGAUGAUCGGAUCCUUCAAUUUAAGAUCGGAGUUAUUGAUCUUUAUUUAGGUAGUGAAUAGAAUUUUCUAUCAAAAAUUCAAUCUAUUCCGAUUCUCUUUCACCGUUAAACUAGCAAAUAUCUCAUACCGGCCGUUAAAAAUUGUCAAUUUUGUGAGCUUUUGAUCGUAAGGUAAAUGAUAUCGAAAAAUUAUAGAAUUUGAUUUCUAGAGGUUUCAAAUGCUCUAGAUAAUGUUUAACGGUAUGAAUAGUCGAUUCAGAAGCUCUAUCAUCAAAAAUAACUUAUGAGUACGAAGGCGAGUACUCAUAAGAGUAUAGUAGCCGAACUCUUUAUAUAAAGAGUAAUUAUAUAUAUAUAUAUAUAUAUAUAUAUAUAUAUAUAUAUAUAGAAGUCGGCUCCUAUGCUAUCGGUAGCAGGAGCGCUCCGUGCUACCAAGUUGUUUUCGAUAAUGCGGCUUCCAAAUCGACGAUCGACUCCGUUAGACUUGAUCUACACUAUUGAAAGUAUUUGGAAACUAAAUUUCAAAUUUUUUCGACACAUUUGACUAGUGAUCAAAAGAUCUCAAAAUUGACAAUUUUAAUGGCCGAUGUGGUGUGUUUGUGAGUUUAACGGUGUAAAACAAUCCAAAUGCGAUGAAAAUUUUAUAGAAAAAUUCUUUUCACUAUUUAGAGUAAAAUCAGUAUAUCUGAUCUUAAAUUUAAAUCUUUUAUCAUCAUUUUUUAUGAGAUUUUUAUUUUCAACCGUUCAAUUUUAGACUACUUAUUUGAUAGGUAAAUGAUAUCGAAAAAUUAUGACAUUUAGUUUCUAAAUACUUUCAAUAGUGUAGAUCAAGUCUAACGGAGCCGAUCAUUGAUUUGGAAGCCGCAUCAUCGAAAACAACUUGGUAGCACGAAGCGCUCCGUGCUACUGAUAGUAUAGUAGCCUAGUUCUAUAUAUAUAUAUAUAUAUAUAUAUAUAUAUAUAUAUAAAGUAAAAAAAUAAAUUAAAAUUUGAGAAUUAAAAUAUCACUAGCUUUAUAGGUCCAGGACCAAACGAGUACCAACAGUGUAAUUUAUCCUUAUUAAUUACUAGUCCCAAUAAAAAAUUGUUGCGGAGUGGUCCUCAAAAGCGCGUCGCUGAUGCGUUGCAUCAAAGCGCAAAGCAUUACACGGGAUCUGCUAGGUCGUGCAGUGUAUCUAUGAGCCUUCACUAUUGCCACUACAAUUACUAUUUACUGUUACCUUUUUUUUUACUAUUAUUAUUCUAGGGUGUUGGGGGGACAAAAUGAAGAACAUUAUUGCUGUUAGGCUGUGAUUGAAUGAGUAGUUUCAAAGCUAAUGCAUUAAAAAUAUAAUAAGAGAAAUGCUAACUCUACGAUCCAAGGAUAUUGUAACCGCUGCAAUCCUUGCGACGCCCCACUUUUUUAGAGGUCAUCUAUCUUAAAACUACUUUAUCCCAAGCACGCCUAACUCUCUUGACUAGAAGUUAGUCACCAUCCAAAAUACUAUAGCUGAAUUAAGAGAUUUAGUCUUAUUAUACUAUAUAUAUAUAUAGAGAGAGAGAAAGAGAGAGAGAGAGUACGGAAGCUUCCGUACUGUCAAGUUGUUUUCAAUUAUGCGGCUUGUAAAUCCACGAUUAGUUCCGUUAGAUUAGCUCUAUAUAUAUAUAUAUUCUAAGAAUGUCACUUGAUGAGACUUGUUUUAUUGGACUUAUCAGACCUUGUGGGUAUCCGCGCCCUUCUCGCUGUAUGACCCUAGCUCAGCUGAUAUGAAUCUCACAGUUUCGGCCGAUGAUUGGCUUGAAUACCAAUUAUGAUGCCCCACUUUUCAAGAGAUCAUCUAUCCUAUUAACUAUUAUAAUCCUAACAUACUUAACCCUCUUAAUCUCUUAGGCCUAAUCACAGUCCAAAUAUUAUAACCAAGUUAAAAGAUUUAAUCAUAUUAUACCUUAUAUAGUAAUAUUUCAAAUCCUACAAGCCUCACAACCUUUAGACUUUACCGACCCCUUUUGGAUUUUAAUUAAAAAAAGAAGAUAAUAAGACAAGUUAAAAAUAAAAAUAAUAAAAAUAAUAAAAAUAAAAAAGGCACUUAGAUAAGAGGGAUUGUAAGAUUACAAUCCAAAAUGGACUAUAAGGAUAGCAUUGCUAUUAAAAUAAAGAUUAAAUUACAAAAACCCUGCCCGCACAUUAGCACUAAUCUGAAUUACUCCUCCGUAUUAAAACUAUAUUAAAUAUCCUCCUACAUUUUGUCAUUCUUUUAAUAUAUCCAGCUUUUUAGGAUGACCAUUAAAUUCAGCUAUAAAACUUCAUAAAAAAUAUAAGAUUGCAGAUGAAACUGCUUAAAAUAAUAUAAUAUAAUAUAAUAUAGAGUCCGGCUAGGAUACUAUCGAUAGCGUCAAGGACUUGGUGCUAUCGAGUUUUUCACCGUUAAAUUUAAUCCUUUGAUUAUUUUUACCCGUUAGAUUAUACUAUUCAAUCAACCACUCACUCAACCCUAGAGGGCCCACAUCAUCCUAAUCGCACAUUUCUCAAUCCAAUGGCUAAAAAACUAAUAGCAUCAAUAACUUGAUGCUAUUGAUAGUAUUCCAGCCUAGUUCAUAUAAUAUAAUCAUAUAAAUUAAAUAAAAUUAUCAAAUAAACUAUUAAUUUUAAUAGUAUUAGCAAAAUAAAAAAAUCUCUUUUAUUUAAAUUUUUAUCUAAGAUAUGAAACAAUAUUAUAUGCAAGCUUGUUUUAGUAAAGUUUCACAACUUAAUUUGUUAAUUUUUUUAAUUUAUUGGAAAUGGUGGCCAACACAGGAUACUUUUUAUAAUUUAACUUAAAAUAAAAGUACAAUGUACGUAGGCUAAGUGUAUGCCAUUUUGAAAUAAUAAGCCCACAAACUAUAUAAACAUUACUUAUAAAUACCUCCUAAUUAUUUUUGUUUCAAUUUGAAUAAUUGUAAAAUAAUUGACAUAAAAAAAUUAUUAAAUAAAUUUAUUCAGCAGCCUAUUUGAAAAUCACCUACAGUUUAAGGGGCCUCCAUACAAUUUUACCCCCUAAAAAAAAAUAAUGGAGCUAAGCACACGAAGAAAAUGUAAUCCGUACAAGGUGAACAGUGGACAAAGCAAGAGGCCUAAGGAGCUAUUUGAUUAGAUGUAAUUAUAAAUACAAAAUAAUUAAAAAUAUAUAUAAUUAAAAAUACAGCCGUUGUAACUAUAUAUAUUCUAUUUUGUCAAAUGUAGUAGAAAACGCUCAACUAUAAAUAUUUUAUUUGAUUAUAUGCAAUUGAGAAAUAAUUUUUAAAAGUUUAUCAUUUUACAUAUAUGAUGGAGAGAUUACCACCAAUCUACAAAUUUUUUUUUUAUUUAAAAAAUAAUUAAGGAGGUAAGCAUAUAUUUUGUUUAAAAUUACUCUAUCCAAUUGCUGUAGUUCGAACUGCAGCCAAUUUAGGCCUAGUUCCAACUGUUGCAGUUAGACCUCCUCUUGCAUUUCUUAUUGCAGCAAUUAGAGUUAAAUAUAUCGAACCAAACAAUGAAUUUGUGUUUACAUGCAGUUACAAAUACAGUGCAGUUGCAACUACAUGCAACCAAACGGCUCCUAGUUUUUUACAAAAUUAUCAAAAAUUAUAUUUAUUUUCUUAAUUUUACUGUAUAUUUUUUUAAAAAUAAAAAUAUAAGAAAAUAAUAAUUAUAACUUAGAAUUAGCUCAAACAAACAGUACUGUAGAUGUACGAAAAGGGGACUUGAAUAGCAGUUAAGCUUGCAUGUGGAUUAGAUUAGAUCAAUUUCCAAUUCAAAAAGUGAGUCCAAAAGUGCUUCUGCAACAAUCAAUUAAAAAGCUAUGUUUAAUUUUUAAUAUGACAUAUAUCAUAACUUGAUCAUGUGACAACCAAACCAGCUAAUCAUUCCUAUCUAGUACAAUGAAGCAAUAGAUUUUAAUUCAAUUACCUAAAAUUAAUGUGUAGCUAUUAAAAAUAUACAUUUAGUUGUUGCCAAAUAUUGGCUUAUUUUCUUUCAUAUCAUCAACAUUAAUUACUUCUUCUUUUUUUCCUUUUUUUGUUUUUUGGGCCAUGAAAAGUGUACUCUGAUACUUAUAUUAUCUCAAAUAAAAUAUUAGCUAGGAAAUGAUCUUAAUAAAAGUCCAAUUAAGCUUAAUUGGGAACUAAGUAAAAUUCUACAACAAUUUCUUAUGGCAAAGUCAAUUUUUUAUUUAGCAUUGGAUGCAAAUUAACCAAUGUAAGAUACCAAACUGUAAAUCAACUAAGAAAUUAUUUAGAAAUUUAACUAAACUAAGGUUGAAUCUUUUAUUCAAGCUAAGCUAGGAGUUUUUUUUAUUUACCACAACUGUUUAAUGCAGUUGAUUGUUAUCGCGAACACCCUUGCCUUCUUGUUAAAAAAAUAUAUGACUAACAACUCAACUCAUUAGCAAUAAUAAUUUGUUGGGUUCUAAACUAUGACCCAAAAUACUUAAAUUUUACUAUUUUUUCUAGAGUUCAUAGUUUUUAUAUUUUAAAUCACAAUGUAGUACUCAUUUGAUGUAGGACUAUGGGAACAUUAUAGAUUUUUUCUAUUUAGAUCUCGACUAAGAAAUAUGAGACUAAUCUCACACUUUCCAUUAUUAAACUAGCUAUGAUACCAAAUUUAAUGAUCCAACAUGUUAGAACGAAUAACUGGUUGUGCCCUAAACCGCUAGCACAAAAUGCAUUGGUCUAGUGUUAUUAGAGCUCGUAUCAUGUAAUCUCAUUUACAAUUCACUUUUCAUUCGAUGUGGGACAAUUUAGACGUCACAUAAAUACUAAAAUAUAUAUAUAAAUAUAUAUUGUAAACACUAAUAAAUAUAAAAAAUGGAAGCCUACAACACCCCUAAAGUGAGAAAACCUCUAUAUUUUUCUUUUUCCUUUUUUUUAUAUUUAUUUUUGUUAGUUAUCUGGUCACUUUCAUACUUACCAUUUCCAAAAAUUUCCUCUUCCUUUCCCAUCAACUAGAAAACCAACAAAGUAUUAUUAUUAUUAUUUUUUUCCAUUGUAAAACAAAAGGUAAUUAUCGUUUGCCUUGUAAAUUAUUAUCCAAAAAAUUAGAAAUAAAUACUAAAAUAUAGAAAAUAUUUCUAUAGUACUCACUUUUUUUUUCUUUCUAAUUUUUAAAAAUUUAUAUUUUAUCUCUCCAAAAUUUUUAAAGUAUUUUUUAAAAAUUACAACAAUAAUAAUAAAGGUAAAAUGACUAAAUAUUUUUUCUUAUUUUUUUAAAAAAAACUUUUUUAAUAUAUUUAAAAAUAUUUUUAAUAUAAAUUAUAAAAAAUAGAUCAAAUAGUGAUAAAAUCUUGACCGAAAGAAAAAAAAAUAUGACGCCCCACUUUUCGGUUGUCAUUCAUUUUAGGACUAUUUUAGUCCUCACACGCUUAACUCUUUUAAUACCUUCGGUUUAAUCACCGUCCAAAAUACUAUAGCUGGAUUGAUAUUAAGAAAUUUAAUCUUAUUAUAUCUCAUAUAUAUAUAUAUAUAGAACUAACCCAAAUUUUGAGUUUGAUAUUAUAACCAGGUUAAAAAAUUUAGUCAUAUUAUAUCUCAUAUAUAGAACUAAUCCAAAUUUUAAGGUUGAUAUUAUAACCGAGUUAAGAGAUUUAAUCCUAUUAUAUUUUAUACACAUUAAUAAUCUAAAUUCUGAUGUCUCACAAGAAAACUAAAUAUAUCAACUUAAACUUUGAGGCUUCGUUUGGUUCGAGUAUAAGUAAGAACUAGCUUAUAUCAGGAAUAGGUAUAAGUUUAGCUAUAAGCGAAAACUAGACCAAUUUUGUGUUUGGAUGAAAAUUUGGUUGUUUCUAAAAAUAAGAAAAAUAAUAUUUGAAUAAAUAAGAUGGAAUAAAAAAAAUAAUUGAUUAUUAUAAAUAAAAUAUAAUAAUAUUACCCCUCUCAUUAUAUUUGAAUUUAAAAUUUUAAAUUCACAAUUUUAAAUUUUAAAUAAUUUAAAUUUUAAAAUUUUAAAUUUUAAANCAUUAUAUUUGAAUUUAAAAUUUUAAAUUCACAAUUUUAAAUUUUAAAUAAUUUAAAUUUUAAAAUUUUAAAUUUUAAAAUUUGAAAUUUAAGACCAAAUUUAAAUUUGAAAGAUAUAAAAUAUAAAUUUUAAAAUUUAAAAUUAUAAAUUUUAAUUUUGAGAUUAUAAAUUUUAAAUUUUAAAAAUUCUAAU
rnacentral:lncRNA from 1 species